GUCCAGACUGCGGCGGACCACACCCAAAAGCCUCCUAAGGCGAUUGCGACAGCUGGCCAUAUGCGGGUUACGAGGCUCGCAAGGCCGGCUGU
rnacentral:sRNA from 2 species